AACGAACGCUGGCGGCAGGCUUAACACAUGCAAGUCGAGCGGGCCCUUCGGGGUCAGCGGCCGACGGGUGAGUAACACGUGGUAACGUACCUUUUGGUUCGGAACAACUCCGGGAAACUGGAGCUAAUACCGGAUAAGCCCUUAGGGGGAAAGAUUUAUCGCCACAUGAUCGGCCCGCGUCUGAUUAGCUAGUUGGUGGGGUAACGGCCCACCAAGGCGACGAUCAGUAGCUGGUCGGAGAGGAUGAUCAGCCACACUGGGAAUGAGACACGGCCCAGACUGGGACGGAAGGCAGCAGUGGGGAAUAUUGGACAAGGGGCGCAAGCGUGAUAAAGCCAUGCGGGGUGAGAGAUGAAGGCCGUAGGGUUGUAAAGCUGUUUUGGACGGGAAGAGAAUGACUGUACCGGAAGAAUAAGCCCCGGCUAACUUCGUG
rnacentral:rRNA from 1 species